CCUACGGGUGGCAGCAGUGGGGAAUAUUGCACAAUGGGGGAAACCCUGAUGCAGCGACGCCGCGUGAGUGAAGAAGUAAUUCGUUACGUAAAGCUCUAUCAGCAGGGAAGAAAAUGACGGUACAUGAGUAAGAAGCUCAGGCUAACUACGUGCCAGCAGCCGCGGUAAUCCGGAGGGGGCAGGCGUUCUCAGGAUUUACUGGGUGUAAAGGGGGCGUAGACGGUGAGCCACGUCUGGAGUGAAAUGCCGCAGGUUAACUGCGGAACUGCUAUGGAAACUGGCGAACUAGAGUGCGGUAGGGGUAAGCGGAAUGCCUGGUGUAGCGGUGAAAUGCAUAGAUAUUAGGAGGAACACCGAUUGCGAAGGCAGCUUACUAGACCGUAACUGACGUUGAAGCACGAAAGCGUGGGGAGCAAACAGGAUUAGAUACCCGUGUAGUC
rnacentral:rRNA from 1 species